CCCCUCCCUGUCAGCCUGCGCUCUAACUGCAGUUGAACUACCUAUGAAAACCAUGCACUGAUCCUGUGCCCCAAAUCAUUGCAGCUGAGAAACAAUGGCUUCUCCCCUCCUGUGUCAUGGGGCUUUGGUGGUCUAAUCACGUAAACUCUGGAUUACUGACAGUCAUGUGGAUUCAAUCACCCAAUUCUUUAUUGACGUGCUUACACAAGAAAAAACGCCUUAUGCUUAUCAACUUGACAGUAAUUGCAUCAGGGAGGACGUUACUGUUCCAAGUGAGACAUGAAUGGCUAUUAUUUAUUCUUCAUUAUCCUUGUCUGAACCAAUAAAUGCCUCUUAUUUUGCUGUCAAUUUGCUAGUGAAAGUCAAAACAUCAUGUCGGAUAAGUAGCAAAAGCAUACGACAGUUGUCGUUACCACUUCCGAGCCGAUGUCUACACAUGGAGAUCCAAUGCAGCGACAAACCAAAUCGCAGGGUGCACACAGAAGCCAUAUUUGGUUUGUGCUAAAACAUGACUGUCAGCUGUUUACAGUGUUGAUGUUUGAGGUCUGACUCGCAGUUUCCAAAACAAGGCCGUGUUGAAUAGCAGCACAGCUUGAGAUGUCUCUCGAGUAGCGUUGGUCGGGGUUGCUUAUGCACAAUUUCAAUUUCAAACAUGUCCUGUUCACACACAGCCUAUGCGCUUAUGGCCCCUGCCCUGAGCCCUGGUCCUCGCAGUGGCUUCACCUGAUGCAGGAGCCCACCCAACACAGUCAGCUGUGGAGCCUGUACGUCGCUGACAGUUGUCUCCUGUCCGACAACAAAGCAUCGCUUUGUCAGCCCGUUCCUGUACGAGUCACUGUCGUCUAAUCGACUGCUGAACUGAUCGUGUAUUUCUAUUUGUAUCUGGCCUUGGACGAGGAGAUCGACUGAGCGGACUGCCUCUUCUCAGCUAGCCAUCAGGCUACCCUUACGAUCAGUCUCUGAAUCCUCCACCAGGACCCCCGCUCCGUCGCCACACAUUUCGGGUCCCGUGGCACCGAACCGUACCACUGUACCGGAGCCUAUCGGACCACGACCAGCCCUACCAGCUGUGCGGACGAGCUGACAACACGCUGGCCAUACGGGUGGUGUGUACCUGUGAGUACCACCACGACACCGGACUAACAACCCCUGACAAGCCGUAGCGCAGGGGGGUCUCGGCUCGGUUCACCACGACCGCCUCGACCAGCACGACCAACGCGGUCGUAGUUAGGAAGAACCGUUUUGGUGAAUUAUUCUUCGGGCAGAACGGGACCAAAGUGUCGCCAAACUGUCACAUCGUCUGGGGGUUAUAUCUCACUCGAAACGGUCAGUUCAGGUCAAAUGAAACAAUUAUCGGUCUUCUUCCAGUCCAACUUUGAAAACAAACAAAACAAUACGACGUGUCGUCGCGGUGCAGGGGGAGCAGAUGUCUCGCGGCGCGGGGACAGAGACGCCGUCCUCCCGGUGACCCGUCGGGUGAGACGAUCUAACGAACCAGAGCCGUCCGAGGGACCAGACCAUAAGCUAGCGUCCUGCUCGGCUCGAUGCGACCUGGAUCCUCUCCUCACCUCCUCCUCGCUGCUUGUCACAACAGAUCAGCGGCAGCGCAGCCCGGGUCACGUGUCCCAACAACAGCUCGUCACUUCCCUCCCCAGCCUCACGUGAACCUGCUGCCAUGGCAACCGCGAAGUUAGAAAAGGAGCGUUCAAACUUUCUUCUUCUUCUACUUCUUAUUUGAACGUCUCACAUGGGGUGAGCGCCGUCUGGAUUCUGCGGGAGAUCUGGUUUAGCAUACGACUCAGAGUGCCAUGUUAUUAGUAAUAAUAAUGAUGGACCGUGGCGAGCGCGCCUCAACGGUCAGGGUGCGCGCGAGAGAGAGGGAGCGCGCGAGAGUGGGAGAGAGGGAGGGAGGGAGCGUGCAAGAGAGGGAGAGAGAGAUGGAGCGCGCGAGAGAGGGUUGACUCUCUGCUCUGAUAGGACAGCCGAUCCCAUGCACGUUCUCGUGGGCGGCACGUGAGAUGCUUUUUCCCCGUGAACAUUUUGUUCUGACUGGUAACAAAGAGGAGACUGAUGCGGCCGCCAGAAUGCGAUGCGCAAAUCUGCUCCACAGCUGAUGUGGUGGUUGGUGUUGUGUCAAAGCAAUUUCAAAAUCUUCAGCCUGGUAGCUUCGUUUGCUCCAUGUCAGGUCCUAACAAUAAGUGUAUUAUCUGGAAAUAUGUUCACUUGGGAUAUCAACUGCACAAAACUUAGUCGUAAGAGGUUUACUUAAUCAUAUUGAGUGCAAAGCAACGCAAGGUAUUGGCUAUUGUAAACCUUAAAGCUUUAACGGCCAUAGGUCAUGACCCACCUAUGAUGUAACAUUGUUUACACUAAAACUAAGCCCAUCCAUGGGAAAUCCCAUCUGGGUCUGUGAUGAAAAGAUAGUCAUCCAGCGAUUCUUUUGUCUGGUCUCGGUAGUAUUAUAGCUCCAUCUAGUGGUCUGGACCGGUAACGCAGAAAGUGAUGCAGGGGUAAAUAGUCUUUGAAACCCUUGAGGAAAAUAGUUGUUUUUUGAUUCAUAUUCAAAGUGAUUGGUCAGAAAUGUUCAUGUGUGUGUGUGUGUGUGUAUAUAUAUAUAUAUAUAUAUAAAUAUAUCUAUCUAUCCUAUAUAUAUCUAGAUAUCUAUAGGCCUAUAUAAAAAAAUAAGUAAGAGUUAGGGUUAGGGUUAAGUAAGGUUCAAUGUUAAGUACGUUGGCUCUCUCGCUAUAUUUUAUAAUUUCACAUUCCUACGGUAAACACAUCAACCGUCUGCAUAAAAUGUCCAGUUUGACAAUAAUGCUUACAUUUGACCAUUAGCCAUUAUUUGCAGCAAAAGUAUCUUUCGGCAAGAAAAAAUAGAUUAAAGUGAUCGUCCUAUUUUCGGUUGGUAUAUCUUACUAUACCUUACUGCAAUUGAAAUCAUUAUUUAAAUGAUAUCUGAGAAGUAUGAACCUUUCAAUAGAAGGGUGGAAAAACUCCUAUAACAAUAAAUUGCAUGACAAGACACCAGAUUUAAGAGAUGGAAAUACCAACAAUUUAUUUUCUACUUCUUUGGUGACUACAGAAAUGUUGAAACAUUUGAACACUGAAAAAAGCUUGAUGACAUCAUCACUUCGCUUCUCAUUUUUUUUUUCCUUUUUUUCAUUUGCUUAGCAGUCAAAACAGAUGAUAUUGCACGGCACUGAAAGAGCAGACGCAAAGCUGCUGGGAAUAAACGGAACGGAUCAACCGAUGUGGAAUGGGGUUACAACGUCAAUAUACCUAAAGCAUUGCCGAACUGGCCAAAAUAAUUGCACUCACACACAAUAACACAUGCGCGCUCACACAGACACACACAAACACACAAACUUACUCUCAUACACACACACACACACACACACACACACACACACACACACACACACACACACAAACUUACUCUCACACACACACACACACACACACACACACACACACACAAA